rnacentral:rRNA from 1 species
GAACGAACGCUGGCGGCGCGUCUUAAGCAUGCAAGUCGAACGGCAAGAGGUAGCAAUACCUCCUAGAGUGGCGGACUGGUGAGUAACACGUGGGUGACAUACCCUUCAGAUGGGGAUAGCUAUUAGAAAUAGUAGAUAAUACCGAAUACGAGCACAGGGGUUAGAGAUCUGUGAGGAAAGGAGCUAAGGCUCCGCUGAAGGAAUGGCCUGCGGCCCAUUAGCUAGUUGGUGAGGUAAGAGCCCACCAAGGCGAUGAUGGGUAUCCGGCCUUAGAGGGUGAACGGACACAUUGGGACUGAGAUACGGCCCAGACUCCUACGGGAGGCAGCAGCUAAGAAUAUUCCGCAAUGGACGAAAGUCUGACGGAGCGACGCCGCCGUGGAUGAAGAAGGCCGGAAGGUUGUAAAAUCCUUUUGAAACUGAAGAAUAAGCGUUGUAGGGAAUGACAGCGUGGUGACAGUAGGUUUUGAAUAAGCAACGGCUAAUUACGUGCCAGCCGCCGC